CUACGUCUUCAUUUAUCUCACCCUCUAUUCUCAAUCUUUAUCUCACAUAUAGUACUACGUACUGAGAUAAUACUUAUUUUCGACAUAAAUCCGAGCGAAUUAAAAUCAACAUUUGAUCAGAGCAGACGAAUGAUGAGCUGGAGUAUAGUGACAACUGACAAAAUGGGGGAGAAUCUCCUGAUAGCUGGGGGAUGAUCGAUUGGGGGAUGAUAACGGUUAUUUUCCCCAUUUCAAAUAGUUUUGUACUCUAUAAAAACCCCCUAUUUAAUUUCUGAAAUCAUUUCUCUGUGGGUUUUCUAUCGGCAACCUUACCACACACUCCCCCGCCCCUUCAUUAACUACUACCGCCGCUCGCAUUCUUUCUCUUCCGAUCUUCACUAGGUCAUGGCGUGGGAAGAUGCUGAUAAGCUACGAAGCACGGAAACGCCAAAAAAUCACGACUUACCGUUUCCGAAACGUCCUGGAACGGGGAAACCGGGAAACCGUUUCAGAAAAAUGGAGACGUGUUUGAAACUGAAUUCAUCCCGGAAACGAAUGGGAAACGAGAUUUCAAUCUAAUAUUCACGUUUCCCAACCAAACUUGCUGAUUGUAUCAAAGUUUUUCCGCCAGAAAACUGAAAUUAGGUUGAAGAAGAUAGGUUGAAGAAGAUCUAUACUCUGUAUUUCACACUUUUUUUUUUUUUUGAUUUUGAUAAAACAAAACUCUGUAUUUCACACUUGGAUAGCCUAUAUUCGAAACCGUACUACAAAUUUGUGCCUGGCCCAACUGGACAAAUGAAAAUUAAAUCAUUAAGGGUGUAUUUGAUUCAGCAUAUUUUGGAAUAAACGUUUGAAAUCAUCCAACCUCA